rnacentral:lncRNA from 1 species
AGAAAGUGGUAUUUAUGUAUGAGGCUCAGAGCUCACAUCAUGCUACAAGGGAGUGGUGAUCCUGAGACUCAGCCUCUGAUUUAGGUCUUGCUUUCCUCCUCUUCCAGUCACCUCUAUCUCUUUAGCCAGCUUUAAAACAGCCCCUUCUCAGGUGUGGUGGCACAUGCCUAUAAUCUCAGUGGCUUGGGAGGCUGAGACAGGAGGAUCGUAAAUUCAAGGCCAGCCUUAGCAACUCAGCAAGGUCCUAACCAAUUUUGCAAGACCUUGCCUCUGAAUAAAAUAUAAAAAGGGCUGGGGAUGUGGCUCAGUAAAGUGCCCCUACAUUCAAUCCCUGGUACCAAAGAAAAACAAAAAAACAGAUUCUUGGAAGUUUAAGCUCACUCCUAUAAUUCCAACACCUUGGGAGGCUAAGACAGGGGGAUCACAAAUUCAAGACAAGCCUCAGCAACCCAGUGAGGCCCUAAGCAAUUUAGUGAGAUCAUUUCUAAAAAAAAAAAAAAAAAUCCCCCUUAUUUACCUUCUUUGGUACCUAUCUUUCCAAACAGGUUGUUCAACUCCUCCCUUAUGCUUAGUGUUAGCGACAGGACUUAGCCAGAUAUUUUUAUGGGUCAAGGAAUAGAGAAUAGAGAAAUUGGCUAUUCAGAGUGACUUUGAAAUAAUUCCAGUUCCCUUCCCUGUCUCCUGCUAAGGAUGCCUCUGUGGACUACACACACACAAGGGCACACUCAAACACUCAGCCAGAGCUUCUCUUCCUUUGUGCUCUGUCUCACCUUGAAACAUGAAUAUCCAGGGUGUUUGUUAAGGCUAGAAAGGCAGGAGUUCAUGAGACCUGGUGAUGAAACAAGCAUAAGUUACUCAUCUGAAAGUUUCUUUUUUCUUUUUCUGGUAGUACUACUAAACUAUACAUCUACAAACUCAGCCUUUUUUUUUUUUUUUUAAGGUUGAGACAGGGUCUCACUAAGUUGCUGAGGUUGGCCUCAAAGUUUUGAGCCUCCUGCUCCAGCCUCCUCAGUAUCUGGGAUUACAGGCAUGCUCCACUGUACCCAGCUCAUCCCGGAGUUUCUCAGAAAAGAACACAUCAGGACUGGACUUUUUAUCAUGUCUGGGGCCCAGUACAAGUCUGAUGGUCAGGGGCAGACCCCUCCCUGCCCCAAAACACAUUCUGAACCCACCCUGAAGAUUCGGAACUAGGAAGCCAUGCUGUGGUUCCCUGUUCCCGAUCUCCCAGGGCUCAAUAUAUCUGCUGAUAAGCCUACAACUCACAUCCCACCAUCCCCACCCCCUCUUCUGUCGUCCUCACUGUGGAAGAGAGGCUGACACCACGUCAGACACCCUCUGCAGAAGAUGACAGGCUUCUUUGCAGCCCCAGUUUGAUACAAAUUCACCCAGAGGCAGUAG